ACCUUUCUCAUUGCACCAUCUCUGGACGCAAUCAUGAUGUGCAAACUGCAAAGAGUUGAUGAAUGAAUCAUUGAGGUUACGAAUUUAAAGUUCAGACAGAGAUAAAACAACCGGAAAUCAAAGACAGCACCUUUAAUGUUCCAGAACAAGAACAAGGCGUAUCCAUGUUGGAAUCUUCAUCUUCGUCAUGACAAAUCCUACAUUGUUCAAAUUUACUCUCACAUAAAUCAGCUCCUGCAGAUACAGAUUCAGAUGUACCAUCUUUGUUAACCAAGUCAGUUUUAAUAUCUGCUCGCUUUACCGCCACAAGACCAGAAUCGCUUGAUAAUCUAUCAACCACCAACACUAAAUGAUCUCCCAUCCUAAUUCUUACCACCAGCAAAACAAAACAAGAAAAUUCCAAUAAUGAUCCAAACCAAAUGUCAGAGAAUAUCAAUCUGCAAAUCAAAAGAUGUCCUCAGGACAUGAACAAUGAACAUUAAGCAAACAGAAGAGAGACAUAACAUUAACAUAACAUCAAAGCAAACUUAACAGGAAACUUGAGAAGCAAAAUUACAAGUUAACAAAACAAGAAUCAUAUAUUAAAAAAGGUGUUUUGUACAUGGAGAUAAUGUGAUUAAGGAGAAGUCUUUAAUCCAAAGGAUACAAACAAAGAUUCUGAUUCUCUGCAAGAAAAGGUAACCUUUACACUAUAUAUUCUUUCCCUUUCUCCUUCUCCUUCUUCUUCAUAACAAUCUCAUUAGUAAAGAAACUUGUACCAAUCAAUCAUCAUAUGUUGUAUGAGGAGAAGCAGUACAACCAGAAUCAAAAGGAUCUUCAGAUCCACAACAAUGCCAAUACUGUAACACUUUUCCUGAAUUUGGUGUAUCCAUUGUUCCACCACUGUAUACACUUUCAAAUUUCCUCUUUGUCUCUCCUAAACAAAACAAAAAAAUGCAAAAUUUCUUCAAACCCUUGAUUUAUAACUAAACCUAAUUCCCAAA
rnacentral:lncRNA from 1 species